UACGGAGGGGGCUAGCGUUGUUCGGAAUUACUGGGCGUAAAGCGCACGUAGGCGGCUUCGUAAGUUAGAGGUGAAAGCCCAGGGCUUAACCCUGGAAUUGCCUUUAAGACUGCAUCGCUAGAAUCGUGGAGAGGUGAGUGGAAUUCCGAGUGUAGAGGUGAAAUUCGUAGAUAUUCGGAAGAACACCAGUGGCGAAGGCGACUCACUGGACACGUAUUGACGCUGAGGUGCGAAAGCGUGGGGAGCAAACAGG
rnacentral:rRNA from 1 species